UACGUAGGGUGCAAGCGUUGCCCGGAUUUAUUGGGCGUAAAGGGCGCGUAGGCGGCUCUGCACGUUCGUUGUGAAAUCGCCCGGCUCAACUGGGCGGGGUCAGCGGAUACGGCAGAGCUUGAGCAAGCUAGGGGGCAAUGGAAUUCCCGGUGUAGUGGUGGAAUGCGUAGAUAUCGGGAGGAACACCAGUGGCGAAGGCAGCCCCCUGGGCUAACACUGACGCUCAGGCACGAAAGCGUGGGGAGCAAACAGG
rnacentral:rRNA from 1 species